rnacentral:rRNA from 1 species
UGUAGAAUCCCAUGAACCAUUGAGUCUUUGAAUGCAAGUUUCACCURAAGCCAUUAGCCUGAAGGCGUGUCUUCCUGGGCAUCAUGC